rnacentral:misc_RNA from 1 species
GCGAAUCUUAUUAGCUGAAAAAUAAGCAAAACCGGUUAUAAUGCUGGGUGGACACAGAAAAGUAACAUUUAAACUUGGGGAGAUUUGUAAAUGAAGCACAUGAUGCAUUUGUUUUUGUUAUAUUUGUGAAAGAAAAUGCCAUAGAAACUUUAAAAAAAAAAAAAACUGAAGAAUUUGGUGCACAGUUUUGCAUUGUGAACUUUCUCUGAAUUGACAAAACUGCAGAAAACUGGCAUCUAAAAAGGAACAAGACGUUUAAUUUCACCUGCUGUCACCCUAGCUGCUU